GGUGGAAGAGGUGGCGUCCCGGCUCUCUCGGCUGUGGACGUGAGGCGGCAGCGGUUGUCCGCAGGGUCCGAGCUUUGGAAAGGAGUUCCCGGCGCCCUCCUGCGUGACCUCCCAACUCUCGGAGUGCACGAAGGGGGUGGUACCUAGAAGUUAGGGCGGGGUCGCCAGAGUGCAAGGGUGGGACAGCAAGUUCUUCUAGAAGGAAGCUACACCUCCCUCCCCCCGCCCCCCUCCCGAAAAAGAACAUCUCGAAGGACUUGGCACAGGCCGCUGGGAGGUUUGUCCUGCCUUAGGGUCUUGCUGUCCCAGGUCUGGCGGCCGAACCAGAAAGCACUCAGGGCCUAGUGCUUCCAUACUGUUUCGCUUGUUCUCCAUAGGGAGCUGGGCGAGAGAGCACAGAGGCGCCAUCAUUUCUUUCCAUUCUACAGAUUUGAAAACUGAGGCUCUGAAAGACCAGAUUUGAAAACUGAGGCUCUGAAAGACUAAAGGGAAAUAUGCAAAUUCACGCAGAGGAGUUUGUGAGUGAAUUGCACGGUUACAUAUAGGUCUUCAGAAUGUAAAAUAGCUGGUAGACAGUGCAAUUCAAGGGAACAAAAUGAUCCCACGGUUCCCUUUGGGAUGGUGACUGCUUUGAACAUUAUUAUAUUAUCUAUGCAUAUACGUUGCAAGACCAAAGUGGCCUGGGAUCACCCUUUCCUUGCGUUGCUCAUACUACCCGGCACCACCGGGCUAAGGAUUCAGUGAUGAAGAUCUCAGUAAUUUGCCGAAGCUGCCCCGUAAGGUUCUUCAAACACAAGGAAGGGUUCCGGCCUCUGCCAGUCACUCCUUCCUGUCUCAAAGGGAGCAUCCUCUAGUUAGGCCUACCCCAAUCCCUGCAUCCCCUCUUCCCAAGCUUGGGUUUCAACCUCGUUCAUCAUUAUCCAGGUCCUUGAUGAAUGAAGCUCAUCUCUCCAAUCUGGAGUUGCUUUUUUAUUCAGAGCUAUCCUUCAGUCUUGGGAAAGUGACCCAUUUUCUCCUGGGGGCCAGGACUUUGGCCUCUCAUUUUCCAGAUCUCUCCCAUUGGAAGAGUUCCUCUCCCUUGCUGUUUCCAGAGUCUCUGCUCACCCACUCUGGACUGUCUUCCUCUCCUCAGCAAGCUCCUCUGAUAGUGCUGUGCCCCUCCCCCAUUUAUUAGAGAUGAAAUAAAUAAUGCCAUAAAUAAAAGUAUUUGGGAGUCCAGGAACUGUCAGGGCUGAUUAGGGCAUAGAGGACAUUUUCUUUCUCAUUAUGCAAAAGCAUUUCAUGGGGAAAUAAAAGAGGUUUCAUUGUAACUCAUGCAUGUCAUAUUUCAAGGAAUUCACGAUAUUAAUCAUAUUUAACAUUAUUUGCAGCGUUUCUUCUCCCUGGCUUCUGAAAACUGCUAAAUGAGGACACGUGGAUCACUGGGAAGAAAGGGCGGGCGAUGAGCAAGUGAGGGACAGUUAAGAAAUAAUGAAACGCUGGUGAAAGACAGAGAGAAUGAGAUGCCGGGGAGAUGUUUCUUAGGCACCGAAGGGAGAGGUGGGGGAGAGGCUCCCGAGCCGGGAGACAGCUGAAACUGAAUGAUAUACGGAGGAGAUAAAUGGUAACAACCCUCCCCUCACUUUCCUGUCUAGAGAGCAGUUCUGAAUUUUGCAUCGAAAUCUUUCCCUCCCACAUUUACUCCCUGAUAAUUUGCCAGUAACUCCCUGCUUUGGAAAAGAAAUUAGGGUGGUCAUGGUGGUGGUCAUGGGGCUGAGCAGAAGAAAACCUUCAGUCCUUUGGUAAGAAAAUGAUUUCCUGUAUCUGGGGCAGAGCUUUCUCUUAGAUUUAUUAAUUUUAUUUGUAUGAGUGUGUUGCCUGCAUGUGUAUAUAUGCACUGCAUGGAUACCUGGUGCUGGAGGAUCUGGAACUGGUAGCACAGUUGUGAGCCACCAUGUGGGUGCUGGGAAUUGAACCCAAGGCCUCUGGUUCAACAAGUGUGGCCACCUCUUUAGCCCUUAUGUACAUAUUUUAAAUUUAUGUUAACCUUGCCACUCAAACACCUUGAGAGACCGGGAACGAUACUUUCUUCAUGUUUUACUGACUAAAGGAACCACCUCUAUUUUAUAUCCCCAAAUAGCCAUUUCUACAAAAGUGAAUAUUCUAAUGAAUGGUUGCGGUAAUUGGGUUGGAAGCGUAGUCCCCAGUGCAACAGGAUUGGGAGAUGGGGCCCAAGAGUAGACAUUUAGUACAUACAGGCUGUGUCCCCAAGCUUGGAUCAAUGCCUGUUACAAAAGAGCUUGAGAUUGUGAGUGAAUUCUUGGGUGCUCGUGUGGGUGAUGCCUCUGCCACUGUAUGGUGCGUACUACAAGAAGGUUCUAACCGGAUGCUGCUGCCCAGCAACCCUGGAUGUCUCAGCCUUCGGAAUUGC
rnacentral:lncRNA from 1 species